ensembl:lncRNA
UUCUUCCAAGGCCCUCCCCCAGCUGACCUAAUGAUUCGCCCCCACGCUGAUUGACAAGAAGAACAUUACAAUACAUGCACAUAGAACAACUGGUAUAGCGGACAACGAAAUAUAAUGUAACACAUAACACACAAACUAUUUAACUGUCCCAGGGUCGCUACAGUACAAAAGUUCUAGACUCCCAUGGGUUAUGUUUAGACUCCCAUGGGUUAUGUUUAGACUCCCAGGGGUCAUAAUAUCUACCAGGGGUCUAGUAAACAAGAAAUUUAGCAGGUGGCUCACUGUAAUUUUAUGGGCUUCGUGUGAUACCGUUUUGAGGCCCCAUGUUGAAGGACAGUGGUCCCACUGAGUAUAAGAAAGGUGUAUGAGCAUUACAAACAGAGUAGCGGGACAACGUAGCGUCUGAGGCCGAAAUGGGUCCCCUAAUCGGACUGAAUGGUGCGGUUGGGUGCCAACGGUCUGGAGGUCUUCCUGUAGCUCCAGAGUAGCGGGACAACGUCGCGUCUGAGUCCGAAAUGGGUCCCGUAAUCGGACUGAGUGGUGCGGUUGGGUGCCAACGGUCUGGAGGUCCUGAGAAUCAUCCAGGGGAGCGGGACCACUUGGCUUCUGAGGCCGAAUCGGGUCCCCUUGUCGGACUGAAUGGUGCAGUUGGUGGCCAACAGUCUGGAGGUCUUCCUGAGGCUCCAGAGGAGGGUAACUCUGUGAGUCUGAGUCCGAGAUGAGUCCCCUAAUCGGACUGAAUGGUGCAGUUUUAGUACGCCGUGGACCACUUUGGUCUGCCAUCGUCAGUCGCUACGGUCGCUACUCGCUACUGUCUGCCGUGGAAUCAAAACAAACCCUCUAGUUGAGGACGCG